AAGUUGGUAAUAUCAUUUGUAUAUUUUUAUCAAGUAAUGGAAGCGUUAUCGUGGAAUACUACCUCGUGCUUAACACCACAUCGGAAGCCGAAGCGGCGAAAAUUGCUAAUGCUGUUACUGAAGUAAUCAAGAGUGGAAAGAUUGGAAACUAUGAGACAGACCCAACUUUCAAACCCGAUACCUAUAUCGUACGAAAAGUUAAGGCAAGUGACGUCUCGACAGCUUCCGACAAAACGACUACAACCGUUGCUACAGCGUUGUUGAUCAUUUUUGGUGUGGCGUUGUUCAUUCUGCUUGUCAUCAUCAUCGUUCUUAUCGUGUUGGUUUGCUGCCUACUGAAGCUUAAACGGAAAGGCGAUAAGCMGUGAAAACACCGCAUAAAGUAUCACACCAUAGACCACAAUCGCAAUGGCUAACCUACACGUAAAAUAAGAACUAACAGGUCAAAUGAAUUAGAAAGACAGCAAUUUAACAGAUCGUUUCCUGCCACAUAUAUCUUUAUUAGAUUAUCUUUAUUAGUCUACACACAAAAAAACAGAAUCAACCCUACUGGAGUGGGAAUUCCUUCCUAAUAAACUUAGUACUGGUGAUUUUUUACGGAGUACCACGAGCUCUAUCUUUGGUCCUAUAUCAAAUGACACAGGAUAACCACUAACUAUGUGGCUCUUUCAAAAAAAAGCACGAUUCAACGUUUAAAUCCACUCUAUUAUUCAAAUAGCACAAAUGAUUGUACGUUAAACCAGGAGGAUGUAAUUUUUGUAACCAAUCAAAUAGGCCCUUUGCAGUCUACAGUCACGUGAUGAAAAAAAUAAAUUUAAUGAAUUGCAAGUUUGACAAAAGGACUUAGAGAGAAAAUUGAUGGUAAUGAAAUAUAAGGACUUUGGUAGCUUUUCUCCCCAUAUAACUUACAGUCACGUGACUACUAACUGCAGAAAGCCUAUUUAUUGACAAAAUGAUUUGUAAUCAAAUGAAUUUCAAUGAAGAUUCAAUAAAAAAUAAUGCACAAAAAAGGA